AUUGAACGCUGGCGGCAUGCCUUACACAUGCAAGUCGAACGGCAGCACGGGAGCAAUCCUGGUGGCGAGUGGCGAACGGGUGAGUAAUAUAUCGGAACGUGCCCAGUCGUGGGGAUAACGUAGCGAAAGCUACGCUAAUACCGCAUACGAUCUAUGGAUGAAAGCGGGGGAUCGCAAGACCUCGCGCGAUUGGAGCGGCCGAUAUCAGAUUAGGUAGUUGGUGAGGUAAAGGCUCACCAAGCCGACGAUCUGUAGCUGGUCUGAGAGGACGACCAGCCACACUGGGACUGAGACACGGCCCAGACUCCUACGGGAGGCAGCAGUGGGGAAUUUUGGACAAUGGCGCAAGCCUGAUCCAGCAAUGCCGCGUGCAGGAUGAAGGCCUU
rnacentral:rRNA from 1 species